rnacentral:lncRNA from 1 species
CGGGUUGCAGGUAUGGUGGAAGCAUCGGCACUCGGCAGCGUCAUAAACUUAGCUGUUGAAGUUUAUGUAGUGAAGUAUGUGUGGGCGUACGUAAUUAAUUAACAUACAAAUAAACUUUUUAAUAUAAACACAUGCAAGUGAUUCGAGUCUGCAACAAUACGUACGUGUACACACACAUCUCCAUGGCAUGAACGCAAAACAUUUCACGCACGUAGUGAGUACAUGAAAUGAUGCGGAACCAUCAGAAAAGAGAAACAAAAACGUAACAAAAUGCACAUAUCUCUAAGUCUAUUACAAAAGGCAUUUACUUAAUGCGCGAAAUCAUGUUUUGGAUGUUAUGAGUGUGUGUGUAUAUAUAUAUAUAUAUAUAUAUAUAUAUAAAUAUCAGGGCCCUUUCAUUGAGAGAUCCUUAUUUUUUGUUACUUUUAGGGAUAGGCCUAAACCAUUUGAUUUGUUUUUUAAUAGGCUUUGAUGGCUGAGAUUAAUAUAAGAAACUUAACACUUAUGUCAAAUCUACACCGUUCAAGAUUAUUAAAAAUAAAUUCCUCGUUUGGAUGACUUAACGAUCACCAAAUUUUCUGAAAAUUUGUAGAAAUGAUCUACCCAUAUAGCCUAACGAACUGAACGGUGGAGAUUUGAUUUUGUGAUCGAAAAGUUCGUCAAAUGAUCUAUUCCUAGAAAUAAACAAAAAAAGGGAUCCCUCAUUGGAAGGGCCCUAUAAAUAUAUACAUAUAUAUAUAUAUAUAUUCUCAGGUGCGGAUGUCCGCAUUUAUUCUUAUGGAGCGGAUUUCCACUUUACACUCACUUUUCAAUCGAAUUUUCACAUCUCCACCGUUUAAUCUUUAGAUACUAAUGUAUAGAUCAUCUCUGUAAAAUUUCAGCCAAUUUGGUUAUCUUUAAGGCACUUAAACUCGAUUAAACCAAUGGAUGAACAUAAUUCUGUCGAACUUGAACCGUUCAUGUUUAUAACAGAAAAACGCAGUUUUGAGUGCCUUAAUGAUAACCAAAUUGGCUGAAUUUUUGCAGAGAUGAUAUAUACAUUAGUAUCUAAACACUAGACGGUGGAGAUGUGAAAAUUCGAUUGAAAAGUGAGUGUAAAGUGGAAAUCCGCACCGUAAGAAUAAAUACGGAUGUCCGCAGCUGAGAAGCUAUGUAUAUACAGUCGAGAUCAGAGGCGGACGUCCGCACAGCCCUUAAAGUACGGACGUCCGUUUGUUCGCCACUGUAAGGCGCCUCCACCCCAGCAGACUCCAGCAGCGUCCCUGACCACUUUCCCUCCCCGGCGAGUCCGUCGAAUUUCAGUUUUUCGGCCAGAUCACCCAAAACUUCAAACAAAGCCAAUCUGGCCGGAAUACUGGAAUUCGGCGGACUCGCCGGGGAUGGAAAGUGGUCGGGGACGCUGCUGGAGUCCGCUGGAGUGGAGGAGCGCUCUCGCCGGCGCCGUACAGUGGCGAACGGAGGGACGUCCGCACUUUAAAGGCUGUGCGGACGUCCUCUUUAGAACGGCUCCAUAUAUAUAUAAUAUAUAUAUAGUGAUGUUAUUCAUACACUACUUUAUUAUUCACACGCCUUAUUUAUUUUUUUAUUAGUACGAUUUACUUUUAUUUACAAACUGUGUACCCAUUUGAAUAUGCUUCAUGAUUGGCUCUAGAUCUCCAACAUAAAUUAGAUGCAUAUAUAUAUAUAUAAUAGAAUAUAGUGUGUGAAUAACAACAAUCUAUACAUAUAUAUAAUAUAUUCACAAGGUAGUAGUCUCUAUUUAAUUUUAUUUAUUUAUUUUUUAUUUUUAUUUUUUUUUUGAGAAUGAUAGUCUCUAGUUGUGGUAGGUUUGAGAAAGGAAAGGGACUCUUGCGCUAACUUUGAAGAAUGGGUAAUCUCCAAUAAAUUAGGAGCUUCGUCACUUUCGAUUUUGAUCGUAUAAAAAAGGGAAAAAGACCAUUUGCACAAAAUAGAAAAAGUCAAACCCCAUUUCAAUGAUAAUCUUUUUUAUUAGCCCAUUUGAAUAUAAGGUACUUAUUUUAAGCCCAAAUACACAAAUCUUUAUUAAAAUAUAAUAAAAUGAUAUUUUAAAAGACUUUUUUACCCUUAACCUUUAUUUAAAGAGAAAAAAAGAAAAAGAAGAAAGGAAGACUUUCCCGGAAGCACACCGGACACCAGCGCCGGUCGCCGGUCACCGGAUUCCGGUCACCGAACACCGGUCGCCUAAUUCCUGUCACCGGACACUGGCAGCCGGAUUCCGGUCACCGGUCGCCGGAAAAUUGAUGGUGAUCGGAAAAUCGCCGGAGACGCCGGAGUCUCACUGGAUUUUUUUGAAAAAAAUGUCACCAGAACCCACCGGAUCUUGCCGGAAGCAUACCGGCAAAAAAUGAAGUUUACUACCCCUGGUAAACUUUUACUGGGGGUAGUAAACUUGCAAAACAGUAGCUCCAAUGCCAUAAUUCACAUUGAAAAAGAGAAAAAUCAACUUAGAUGCGAAAAAUAAAGUUUACUACCCCUAGUAAACUUUUACUGGGGCAGUAAACUUGCAAAACAAUAGCUCCAAUGCCAUAAUUUACAUUGAAAAAGAGAAAANNNNNNNNNNNNNNNNNNNNAGUGUUGCCCUAAAAUAACAGCAAAUGCAUAAAAAACAGAUUUAAAUAUAUAGCAUACUAGUGCAACAUUUCAGACCACUUAUCCAAUCGGAAUCUUCCCGAUGGGCAAUGUACCUCAAUUGGGUCAUUGAUCAUGGAGACGUGAUUGGAAAGAUAACAACUCAGACACAAUGUUAAACGUGAAACAAUGGCCCGUCGAUCUACUCUCUCUUUCCCAUCCCUCCCUCUCCCUCCUGCAAACUCUUCCGAUUUCUUCUUCUUCCUCAUUGAUUGAUUAUGGGAUGUGAAAUUCACAUAUAAUUUUUCUUUUUUUGGUAUCCACACACAAUUUUUCUUUUUUUGGUUAACAUAAUCAUAAAAAAAUAAAGUUUAAGUCAAUAAAAGACAAAAUUUAAGUUACUAAAAAAAAAUGAUGUGUGGAUUUUAAUUUAGGGUACGUGAAUUUCACGAUCCUUGAUUAUAUGUAUGCCGAUUCUCUCUCUCUCUCUCAACUGACAGUAUCAUAGUAGUUCGUCAUGCUCUGUUUUACUAGCUAGAAUCAUUUAUUUGGAUCAUAUUAUUAAAUUACUUCAUCAAAACUAAGGGAAAGUUUAUGUAGGUACGUACCAAUGAAAUCCGGGACAAGACGUCCAUCACUAAAUCUUCCAGUGGGAUGGUGGAAGAAGGUCAUUCCAUAUGGCCAGGUAAUUGCUUCAUCAUCGUCUACGGUCAUAUUAGCUAGGUACGUAUUGCCUGUUUCCGGCCUCAAAUGGUGAGUCCCCCGAACACAAACAACGCCACCUUACUAUUAGGAUUGUGUUCUAUACUAUACUACUACUACUACUACUACUACUACUACUACUAGCGGAGCGCGACAGAUCACGAUGAUCUUGGUGACCGUAUAGAAGGAAGUUAAUUGGGUUGAAUAAGCUGGCCAACACAUAAACAAGGUAGCUAAGAUUUGCCAUUUGCAUCAAGCACAGUUUCAUUUCCGAACAUAUCACGUCUAUAUAAUGUACCUGUGUAUAUAAGUUUCUGAAUUUCAAUUAACGGCACUUAAUUUCUCUAUAUGCUUCAUAUACUAGAUCGAUGAAGUUGAAAGUUAGUUACUAUACAUUUUUCUCCAAAUUAUUAUUGUAGGUUCGGACUAUCAAUUAUUGUUGGUUGGUAGUUUAAGUUUGUGGUUCUCCUCUUGACAUGGCCGGAGACAUGAUCAACUCGCAUAACAUGCAUAUGCUCGAGAAUAUGAGGACUAUUUGAGGACCUGGAAAUUAAUGGCUGGUAGACGGGGUGACUCGGGGAUUAAAAGACCAUAUCGUUCUCGUUUUUGAAUUGAUUCUCCAUCCUCAUUUUCGACCAUAUCCCGGUUUCUAUAUGAUAAAAACUUCAAGUGGUUGCAUCCUCCUGGUUAGCACGGAAUGAUAGCAGCGUCAACGCUACUAAAGGCGAAGGUGAAUUGAGGUCGCAACUCCAAAACCGAUUUCGGGAUUUUGACAGUUUUGGAGCUGCGACCUAGCUAGUGUCUUGGCUCGAUUGGGUAUUUCCUUGUUGCUAGGUUUUUGCAUUGGUUACUACCAUUUGGCUUUUUGGUUACAUAGGUGAAAGAUUACCCUAAAUUCUACGUAUGACUUACUGAUUUAGGUGGGAUAUGUUUGGUCCGUCAUAUCACCUGUUAUUUGACGAAAAGUUGCCCUAUUAUUAUGAUGAUCAAUUAUUGGUGCUAUAUAUGUAUUCGGCAUACGUGAAAAAUGCAUGCCUGGCUGGCCAGUUACAUUAUUGAUGUUUCCCUUGAAUAUCAUCGACUAUUGAUGAUGUCUAAAGCUUUAGCAGUUUGAUGAAGCAAAAGAGGAAACAAACAAAGAAAAGAAAACAGGAUUUUUUUUACCACCUAGCAGAUUAUUGAGAUAGUUGUUAAGGUUAAUGAUGGGCUGAUAUCUACUGAGACCUCCUGCGACUUCCGGCCUGGUGUAAAUGCACCUUCCUCCGGCAACCGAUCAAUCGCCUUCCGGCAAAUGGGGCAUUCCGAAUGAGAGUAGAGCCACAUGUCUAUACAAGGCGCAUGGAAUGUGUGCUUGCAUUUUGGAAGCUGCCUCACAAAUUCCUCAUUCUGUAAACCUCUCAAGCACACCACGCAUUCAUUUUGAUCACAACUUUCCUCUUCCUGAUUUAGAUCAUCACUCAAUUCUUUCUUGUAGCUGAACGUGAUCACAUCCGGCUUCAGUUUCCGGUAAAUAAAGCAUUUCUCCUUGGCUGCUGGGUGAUCAUUUGGGUCCUCCUGGCUUAAUGUUGGAGCAGACAGUAUUUGUCUACCAUAUAAAUACCAUGCUACAGUAAAUACAAUGUAAAUUACAAAGCAAAUGAGUAUCACCCCUAAGAUCAAAAUGCCAGAAAAAAGCAAUGACAUUUUGACAUAGGUACGGUUUAAAUCUCUUGCUGAUAAUCCUGAUGAAUGGUCGAUAUUGUUUGAUCGAUCUUUUAGGCUUCAAACAGGAGUUAUAUAUAUAAAGAGUAGUCGACUAGUCGAGGUUUCGGAUAAUUGAUCCAAUUAGCAUAAUAACGACGUAGAAGUUGGGCUUCUUUUGUUAAUUAAAUAUCAAGGUAUCAGCCUCUCCGAGAUUCUUUAUCCUUGAGAUUCACUAUGAUCGAUACUUAUUUUGUGGGUUGUUUAGAGAGAUUCAGUUAGAAAAGCAUCUCCAGACUGCAUGGAAAUUGUAAUGACCCUUUAAUUUGGUGCUUAAUUACCAAUGUCAAAUACAUCUCUGCAUAAUUGCAUAUAUAAGGUUAGAUAAUUGAUCUAUGCAUUUUUCUUUCCAUGAUAGUUAAUUUAAUCGGAUGGUGCAACCAUAGUGCAAAGUAAUUGCUUCUAAGUAAUCCAUGACAACAGCUAAGCUGUCACGGGCUUAUCUUUUCCUUAAAGCUCUCGUGCGGCCUUAGCUUCUCCUUGCGCUAAGUCAGCCUAACUAGCACACAACACUUGGCUAGAACUCGAAAGAGUUUAAGAAGGGAAACUUGUAUUGAUUGUAUGGAAGCUUUACAAUGCUUGAAUGCUUGCUUGCUUGAUUCCCCAAAUGAGGGGUGGUGCCUCCUAUUUAUAGGCAACCAUGCCCCUUGGGAAAAUUCUAGAGAACUCUACAUAUUUACAAGCCUAGAUGGUUCUAGAUACAACUUGGAUACACUUGGAUAUACCUAGAGACUUCUAGAUACGUCUUGAUACUCCGAUACUCCGUAUCCUUCUAGAGCCUUCCGUAUCCUUCCUUGAUACUUGUAGAGUAUCCUAGAACAUUCUGGAUACGCCUACAAUGCUCCCUUCCAAGAAGUAUCCAAUGAGGCUCCGGACCCUUCUAGACCAAGGCCAAAACUUGCAGGGUGUGACAUAAGCCUUGCCUAAACACAUGUUGGAACCCAUUGAGCAAACUAACUAGAAAGUAUAAACAACGAGCUUUGGCCUUUUUCUUGAUUUUGAUUGAUAGUACGUGGUGGUAAAGUUCAGAAGAAGACUAAGUAACAUGUUAUUGAGACAGAAAAUAUAUUUUCUUAAGUGCCAUUACCAAGCCAUUGUCGCAUAUAAGCAUCAGGAGUAGCGCUUUAGAACUAACUGAUUAAUUUCAUCAAAACUAACCAAAUAGUUAAUACCAAAACAUCAACGAUCGAUUAACCAGUUAGCUCAUGAUAACUAAUCCAAAUUAAUUUGAUAUUGUUCGAUACAAAAGAUCUUGCUACAAUUAAGUGUGAUUCAUCCACUUAUAAGUUGUAUUUUAUUUAUUUAUUUUUUGAUGUGGGAUUUUUCCUCUCUAACAUAAAUUACUUCCAUUUUUGGUCGAAAACAUCGGUUUCAUUUAUUACAUUGAUCAGGGACGGAUCUUCCUUAUGAGCUAUCUGGGCUGUAGCCCAGAGAACAAUUUUCACCCAAUCAACCUUUUACAUGUGUAAACAAUAUUUUAUAAUAAUUUUCAGUAAUUUGCCCAGCCAAUCUCUCUCUCUCGUUUUUAAUCACGUGUUUUGCUUGUUUUUUUUUUAAUUGAACUUGGUAAUAACCCACAUUGUGCUUUACUUUGACGUUUUAUUUUAUAAUCUUUACUAUCCAGUAAUAGACUUGAAUGAAACAGAUGACAAAGUUUUUCUUUUUUAAUUGAAAAGUCAUAUAGAUACUAAAUUAUUUAUAAUUAUCCACCAACCGAUGAGAGAUUAUGGUAAAAAAAAAGAAAAAAAAAUUAUAUGGUAAACUUAGCCCAGGGUAUUUCGAAUUCCUGGCUCCAUCCCUGACAUUGAUAAUCAUAUAUGAAACUAGCUAGUUUUCAUACUAGGCUUGGAGGGAAAAUUAAUCAGCUGAAACAUGUUGAAAUAGUUGUUUGACAUUGUAAGGUCCUGUGACAUCGGGUGUUCCACUCCAUAGCAGCUCUGCUAUUGGCAUGUUUGCAACCUCAGUCGUAUGGCUACCAUCAAACCACAGAUAAUCUCCAACGUCAUUGAAUAGUUCAAAUGGUUUUGUUCCAUUGUAUCCACCACAAUAAGCUGCUCUGUACAGCCUUGUACCACAGCCAGGCCCGGAUUUGAAUAGAGGCACAAGAGGCUUGGGACUCAUGGCUCAAAAAUUUAAGGGGCCUAAAUUUUUUUUUUUUAUAGUUGUCCAAAUUUUAUUUAAUAGUUUUUUGGCUAUGCAAUCUGACAUGAAUUAAAGACAACUAUCCUAAAACAAAGACAAUUACACGUGAUGAGGGGCCAAACCAUCAAUUACUACUUUAAAUUUGUACCCACAAAAAAGUUAAAAUAUUAAAUAGAAGCAGCCAAACAUGUAAGAUAUUUGUUGUAUAGAUAUAAUUUAUAAUACAAUUAAGGUUACUAAACCAUCAAGGUUUUGGAAUCCUAUUUGCAUAAUAAGUAUUUUGCAUAAAAAUUCUAUAUAUUUUUGGAUGUUAUAUGUUAUUUUAUAUAUAUAAAAAAAAAUUAGGGACUCAACUUUGAGAGUUCGACUCAGGCCUCAAAAUCUCAGGUCCGGGCCUGACCACAACAUGCAUCUGUGGCAUUUCUGAACCCUGAUCAUAGUUAUAACCCAAACCAAUUAGCAAGUGUCGAAUUCAUCAGGAGCUAGUGAAAUUAAAUUAUAGAGAAUCGAUCGAUGAUAAUGUACCAUAUUUGGCAGGGUCGUUGAUUCGAUCAUAAAGAGAAUUAUAGUAGUCAAAUACUGAAUAUUUGAAUCCUGGUAGUUGGCUCUCGAACUCUUGCAAGACAGAAACUAGAGCUGCGUUGUGUAGAUUAGCGAGACUGUUGAGUCCUUCAACGCAUCCAUCUUUUGCUAUUGUAUUCUUGUCUCCUAUACGGUAUGCAUCCAAGCGGUCCAGUAUUUUGAAAUGCAAACUUCCUUCCACCUAAAUCAUACAUUUCCUACAAAAAAGAAAAGGGAGACAAGAAGAAGAAGUGCAAUGUAUGAAAGUUAAUUACAAGGAAACAAUAUUCCAACGAGAAAAAUUAAGAAAUUUUGCAUGCGUGGGGAGUGUAGAAGUAUUUUUCUUAGAAGUAAAUAUAAGCAUUUUGCAUAUUUUAAGUUUACCUCUAAUAUUACUAGUUUCGGCGUGACACCCUAUAACUUGGGCAGGAUUUGAUAAAUCCAACUAAACUGAAUCGUGGAUAUCAAUUUUGAAGGCUUGAAAAUCGAUUAAAACUUAAGCAAUCCAAUAUACUAUCUAGUACCGACGUCACACAGGAGGAUGAUAAGUUCAGUAAUAACAUCCUAAUUAAGAACCAAGUUCGACGACACAUCCAGGCAGAAGCUCCUGCAUGCGUUGGUAAAUUAUCUUUCAAUCUAAGUUGAGGUUUUAUAUUAGUUCACUAACUUCACUUUAGAACUCAAAGCGCGCGCUUUUGUUUUUGCUUCUCUAUAAUUAACUCUUGAUUUCAAACAAAGAUGAUUAUUAGUCAUUGGUUUAGUUAGUUGUAAAAUUCGUGAAUGGUAUACAUCAAGGUACCGUAGACAAUGCUUUAAAAUAGUGCAUCUACGUACUCGGAAUGAUGCUCAAGUUGCCAACCACAAGUGCUACUGAUUCGAGUUGAGCGGACUUGGUGGCAUUUGGGGAGUUGUUGUAGAAGGAAAAAUAAUCAUCCCCUCCGAUGCCCAUCAAGUAAACAGCAUCCUUGAGAAGGCGGCUUUAAAAUCACCCAAUUCCUGUUGCAGCGAUUUUUUGACGUCUUUCAAGUAGGCGAUUUUUUGACGUCUUUCAAGUAGGCCAACUGUUCUGGAAGACUUAUCUGAGUGAUCGAACCAAAAGAACAGAUAACUCACAUCAAUUAACAAGUAAAACAGAAAAGGAAAAUAAAAUAGUAGCAUUGGAUGUUCAUGUUUAUUCUAGAGAGAUAUAUAUAUAACUCAGAACGUACUCACCUUGUCUGGACUAGUCUCAACUCUCAACAAGAACCCCGGCUCCAGCCGAAGCAAAGUUGCAUCCGACGGUAUAAUCAUGUGGACCGGGUUGCAGGUAUGGUGGAAUCAUCGGCAGCUUGGCGUACUUUGCUGCAGAAAUUGAAACGAUUCACCCAUUGUUUUGAUUGUAGCUCCCAUAUGGAAAAUUAAGAAAUCAAUCGCACAUCAAUAAACAUCGCUACCUCCGUUCAUCGAAAAUUAUAGAGAGCACCCGGGUGCGCGGCGCACCCGACAUCUCCACCGUCCGUUUGAGCACGUGGACUUCGGCCGUUAGUUGGGCGUUUGCGGUCUGUUGGGUAGGCGAGUGAUGGGGCUAGGGUAAGUGGAUGUGAUCGCUCCUCAGAAACUCAACUUUAUGGUUUCGCCCAUCAUCGACGACGGAAGCGAUCGUCUUCUUCUAUGGAAGAGAGCCACAUCGCAACCUCUUAUUUCGUCUUGCUUAGAUUGCAGAAGACGGCUCGUUGUAUUCCAAUUCCGGAAGACAAAGAUAUGACUCUGUAGCCUUCGACUGGAAUCUCAAGGACCGAAUCCUGAACGUGAGGAGAUCGGCAUCUGAAAGGGUUAGGAUCAGGCUUUGAUGAAAUUAAGGGUCAGCAUACUUUCUUCAAUGUGUAGUUGUGCGCUACUUAUUAACUUCUCAUUCGUUUGAUUUGCUUUAAGAUUAUUUUUACUGGUCUUUAAAUCUAGGGAUGCUAUUUCAUGUACAGUUCAUUUCUCUGCAUUUGGAGUUUGCUUUGAAUAUUGAGUGGUAACUGAUGAUGGAUCCUGGUUCAAAUUUUAUCAUUUCAUCCAUUAAAGCUGACGCUAAAGUUUCCAUAAGGGUCCAGUUAUUUGCAAAGAAAUGUUGUUCGAUUAAAUUGGAAGGAGCCCAGAAAUCAAGAAUAAAAUUUAGCAGAGCUUUUGCUUCAUUUUGUUUUGCAAGUAUUCAUUGUCCAAUAUUAUCUACUUUUAGUUGUGUUCUUUCUUUUAGGUGUUGGUGNNNNNNNNNNNNNNNNNNNNAGAUUCAAAUCAUACGAAAAUACAAUCACACGAAAAUUGAGGAUUGUUCCUGAGGAGCCUGCCAAUUUGAUCGUCCUGAUCUCCAACGCCGGCGACCGAGGAUUCUGGUUCAGAAUCGAAAGUGAAUCGGAUUUCCCUUCCAAGCAAAUCUGAAUCCACUAAAUCUGUACAUCACGAUGAACAAUUUGACCACCGGAAGAGGAAACAGAGCUUACCGGGAGGUUUACAUGACGGUCGACGGCGAGCUGGUCGGGUCGGAGGUGCCGUUUCCGAUGGUGUUCACCGACGAGAUGAAUCCAGAGAUCGUUGCAAGCGAGAGGCCCGGUUGUCGAGGAAGAUGGUGACGGUGUAGUGCCGAUGCUCCUUGCUCGAGGGCGUCGGUGGCAACGCUGUCUUCCACCAUGGAAGUUCGUCGAGGUGAGAGAGAGGAAGAGAGAGGAGAGAUGAGAGAUGAGUGAGAAGUGAUCGGGAAAGAAGAUAAGAAAGGAGUGAUGGGAAUAGAACAGUGGGUAUAAAUGUCUUUUCCUUAUGAAUAAUUGAGAUGGGCAUUGGGAAAAGAUUAUCAUUGAUGUGGGCAAUAAAUCUUUAAAAUUAGUAUCAUUAAGGCAUUUACUCUAUAAAAAAAUGUAUAAUAUUUGAUUCAUAAAUUAUUUCAGUAAUUAAGUUAAAGUUAACCGAAGGAUUAAACAUAGAACUUGGAUGCUGCCAAUUACCAAUCUCAUUAGAUUUUCUACAUUUCGUCAGUUCAAUAAUACUGUCGUCUUUUUAUGUUUCGUUUAUGAUUAAUUAUUACCCUAAUUGUUGGUAUACUACUUUAUUGAUUAUGUGUAAGAGAUAGUUUGGUUUUUCAAUUUUAUGAAGCUUCCCUGAUGUUUAUAAUGUGCAUACUAUUCCAAAAAAUGUUCUUACUAAUAACAUUCCAAGUCUAGACGUCAUCGAAUUUCCGUACAAGUAGGUCUUUGUGUUUAGUUUACACUGAUCGUAUUGUAACGACGAUUGCUGAAGUUGAAAGCUAAUUAUAUUUGUAUAUAACAGGUGAAAAUACUUGUAAACAAAAUGAAAUACAUUCAUAGAGGCACACACUAGUAUACCACGUACAAUUACGAGUUUCAUUUCUCCUCUCCUUAUUAAUUAGUCGGUUCCACGCUUGGAUCAACUUUGCACCUUGAUGUAGUUAAUCAACUAUUGUUGACUAAUUAAACAUGGGAAGGUGUGGUGUUGGGUGGAGUCGGAGCUGAGGCCACGCGCCUACCACGCUCAGACCUACUGUUCUCUGCAAACUUGAUACUCUGCUGGUGCAGACCCUUCUGCUUCUCUUCCUCGGUCCACUCAGACCCAUAAUAGAACUCUUCAGUAGAUUUCUCGACGUGUUGAGAAGCUGGGAGGAACAUGCUUCCCCACUGUGGAAAAUGAACCAAAGUCACUGGUAGAGUGCAGCACACAAUCAUAACCCCCAUGAAGGAUAGACCAGUGCCUGUGGAGAAGGCUGAGGAUGAGAAAAACACAAGUUGCGUUAGUCCGGAGCCAAAGUUGCCGCCAGCGCCGGUGAGACCUGAUAUGAUCCCAAGAGAUCGUCGAGAAAUGAAUGGGAUGAUUCCAAAAGUUGCGCCACAGGCAGCCUGAGCGCCUACGGAGAAGAGGAUCAUGGCAGUGAUGGCGACGGGGAGUGUGUUGGCCCGGCCGAGCCAGAUGCAGAAGACUCCUCCUAGGGUUUGUAGGAUCCAGAGAGUCCAUAGCCUGCCCCUCAUUCCAAAAUACCUGGCUGCUCUAUCGGAAACAAACCCACCAAAGGGUCGAGCUAAGAAGUUGGCCAUACCGAAUGUGGCGGCAAUGAGCCCGGCAGUGUGGAGCUUGAGGUUGAACCUACAGGUUAGAUGGUUGACAUUUGGUUAGGUUUAGCUUGCCUUUUAAUUACUUGUUAUCCAAAUAGGGACUUAGAAUCAGUAGAAUAUAAAAAUAAGAUUCAGAAUCCACUUUUAAAUAAGUAAAUUAUUGUGGAAAGCAACAUACCUGUCAUAGAAAUAUUCAGCAAUGACAUUAUCAGUUGACAACUCAACGCCCAUGGAGUAACCAUAGAGAAGCACAAAGAUCCACGUCCUGUAGUUUGUGAUGGCGUACCACAACACCUGUUCAGAUCAAACUACAGAUUCAGCUCUCGGGGUUCUUUUAAAUGUAGGAACAAUAAAGAUAAACAAAUAUCCUAAUUAAACUGACCUUUUUAAAUUCAUCUUUGGCAACUUCACCCUUCUUUUGUAGGGCCCCAAGAUUCCCAUCUGGCAAGUCUUGGCCAAGAGUCAAGACCAUGAUCCCCAUAAUGAUAUGAAGCCAACCAGGAAUGAAGAAAGCAAUUCUCCAAGCAGUGAAAGGAGUCGCUCCGGCUCUGCCGAUAAUAUCAAACACAAUAGGCAUCAAGAGCUGAGUGGCGCCACCACCCAUGUUACCCCAACCUGCUGCAGUUCCAUUGACCAGACCUAUAAUCUUGCUGUUGAACAUGGUGCUCAUCCAGUACUGGCAAGAAACGAAUGUAGCAAGAGAGAAACCAAUCAUGAACCUCACGGCUAAAUAACCCCCCGCAUCUGCAACGAAUGACAUGCAGAACACUGUGGGUGCGGUAAGCAUUAUGAGAAAUGCGCAUCCAUAUCGUGGUCCAAGCAAGUCGCAUACUGCGCCCAUUACAAGCCUAGAAAAUAUACUCCCUGUGAAACAAACAAAGAAUAUAUAGUGUGUCAAGAGAAAUAUCGGGAGAGAGUUUGUAAAUAUCAAAGGGAACUAGCUAAUCGAUCUGAAAAGGAAAUUUUAAGAAACUAAGGAAUCUGACCUGAAACAGAAGCGACUCCAGCAUUUCCGAUGUCUUGCUUGGUGAGGUUGAGAUUGUCUCGGAUGAUAGGGACGAGGGGAGCUGCAGCGAAAGUCGAGACGAAGCAAGUGAAGAAGGAGAUCCAAGAGAGGUGGAAGGUUCUCAUGUGAGGAUUGGCCAAAGAGAAUAGCUUGAAGACUUUAGCCUUGUGCUCAGAAUCAACUGGCAAAUCAAAUUUUGCUGUUCUAUCGGUCGGGACAAUAGGUGAAGCCACUGAUAAUGCAAAUGUUUGCUCUUUUCCAGUGACUCCAUGCAUGGAGCUUCCUGGUUCACCUUCCAGUUCCGCCAUUUAGGGUUUCGAGUUUUGGGGAUCUCGAGUAUGAAGGAAAGGGCCGGGAGGCAGAAGCUUGUACUUGAUUAAAAUGGAGAUGUGAUGCUGUGUGAGGAACUUAAGAAGGGAGUGUGGCUUUUAUAUAGGGCUUUGGCGUUGACAUUGUAAAUAGCUCUGAACUUCUGAAGAGUCGAGAAAGAUUCUAAAUAUAUUCGAAAAGAGUUUGUGAUUCAGUUCUCCGCAUCUGAAAUGAACAGGAAUGGUCUCAUCGUAUAUCCCAAAGGAUCACAUAACCAGCCUAAUAGGCCAACAGCUGUUUAACUGCCUAGUAAACUGCAUACUAUAUACCUUAAUCUUAUUUGUUAAUUCUAAUGAAUAUCCUAAUUAUUCGGAAAUCUUAGCUCAGCACAUUGUUCCAUGCGCAGAAUACAAAUACCAUCAAAAGGUAUUGGUUGCAUAGAUUAAGACACAGAGAGAUAUUGUCUUCGCAGAUCAGAUCGAUAAUACAAAUAAACGUACAUUAUGGGCAUGUCUAUGUUAUCCUUAAUCUUUCUGUAUUUCAUGAUAAAAUUCAAAUGACUAAUUAGAUAUAUACAAGUAUACAACAUCAUUCCGUUUUAUUUUAGUUGAUUUUUGUACACUUUGCUGUGAUCGAUAUACAGUUUUUGUCAAUUUAGAACAAGAAAUCCAAGCACGUUAUAUUACUUACUUGCAUGUUAAGCAAUUUAAUCAAGCAAAACAUUUUUGCAUAUCUCCUUUGGAAAUUACUUAACCUCCACUCAAAUGGAGUGAAUAUUGUUCAUAAUAUUUAUUUUAUCGUCCCUGCAAUUAUGUCCCCCUAAUUUGCUAGAUAAUUUAACCCAAUAACGUGUUUGGUUUUGGGUAGUUUUUCUUUGGUUAGGUGAUUACCCUUUCGGACUAGGGAAAAGAACCAAAAGCCCUCACCCGUCACCACCAUACAAUAGUUUCAUCAAUCACCGCCCACGACUGUUUUAUAUGUGUUUACAUUCAUGCUUAUUCUUAAUGUGUUCACUUUGGUCUGCAAGUAGAAGCAAUUUGCUAUAUAUUUCUUAUUGCCUAAAUCAAUCUGAUCGACCUAAGUCAAUGACGUGUUGAAGGAGGGACAAUAAGCACCGUUGGCUGUUAUUCACAACAGUGAUUUAUGAGCUGUAAGGUUGCAUGUAGCUAUAGGAAGUAACAGUAAACGAGUGUUUUCUUCAUCCACAUUGUAGCCUAAUUUCCACACAUCAAAUCAUCUCUCUCUUAUUUAGCUUAAUUAUUGGAUAACGUAUGUGUACAUUUCAAACAUUGCUGUGAGUUUAUCAGAUAGUUAUGUAUGAUAUAUAGCCGGCUCUAAAUUCCAAUCGUAUAUUGCUCAAUUUGAUGGAUUGCAUCAUUUGGAUGUUGCUCACCCUUCAAAGUUUUUUCAGUAAUCGAUCUGUAGUUUUUCAAAGGAUUGCAUGGAACAACUUGGCAAUUCAUUGAAACGUCUUCUUUGCAGAAGAGAAAAAGAAGAAAAUUAAAAUUAAGAUUAACCAAAUUCGAAACCCUAGCUUUCUAUGAGCUAGACAUGUAUAACCAAUAAAUUAUUUCAAGUCUUCUGCAUCAAUCAAUCAACUGGCUAAACCCUGCAGAUAUAUUUAGAAAAAUUCAAACCCUACAACUUGCAACUCAUCUAUCGAUGGCCAAUGAGAAGGAUGAUAUCGAUGAACCAUCUUCCUCUCUCUCUUUCUUCAUUUGGAUUAGAAUUCCUCAUAUAAUUAAGAAUCCAAGUCAUACAUUGUCAUAUACUAAAUGAUAUAUAAUUACAAACAACUUUUCAGUUACUCAAAGAGGGAUUCGGACAACAUGCAUGACUUGGUCUUUGUCGGGAAUGCAUUGGAAGGGAGCUGUAUUUCCCGCGUUUCAUAAUUCCUCAGAAAAAGAGGAAGAGCUAGCUACAAAAACAAAGUGUGCUUGCUGAUAUCUUAUGAGAGCUUUACAAUUUUAAUAAGAAAAUCAGGUCGACUGUGUAUUACGUCAAUCCAAAUUGGAUCGGCUUCGCUUGCUAAGGACAAAUAGAUAAGAAUGUUGGCAGAUGUUAUAUAUGUAUGCAUAUAUAUUAUUGUGUCUGUCCGAUUCACAGAUAAUCUAACUAAAAUUAGCAGCUCUUAUUUGUCUUCAUAAAAUAGACCCUUGUACGUUUGUACUUUUCAUAUAAGAGUGUUGAGAGGGCAUCAAAUAGUAAGGAAAACGAAUUCGAGAGUUGCAUAAAUUAAAGAUUACUGCACCAAGUUGGUGCAUGUUUUUCACAUAUGAUUUACUCUUCUCUAAUAUUUCGAAAAGACAGAGAAGGAACCUAGGGUUUCAAAGCUUGCAGCGCGGCAACUCUCUAGCUCUAGCAUUCCUUUGUCGAGCAGAGAAGUCUUCAACUUCGCUGCGCCGGUGCUCAUCAUCUUGAUGUUCGGGCACUGGGCAUUUUGCAGUGCUCAUAUGUUGAUUUUAGUAUGGGAUUGCUAGAUCUAUUUGGUUGCUGUGCGAAGCAGAUUGUUUUUCUAAACAUAGAGGGAGGUCGACUUGAGGCAGGUAGCUGUAUGUGAGUUGCGACUGUGAUCCACAUGCAGCUAGGCUUUGCAUGAAAACCUUGAAUCGAGACGCGGAGGAUAGACAAGUCCAAAAUGUCGCAACACAAGAAUACACAACUCUAUUGCACUCUUUUCUGCUUAAGACUAUUGUGGCUAUGGGGGCCUAACUAGAGAAGCGGCUAUUGGCAAAGGUUUCAUGAUUUAAUCGUUCGAAUUAGUUUAUCUGCCUCGAGUUUAUUCUCUCCCCUCUUGAUGUAGAUCCAAAGAUAGUAAGCACUGCAUCAAAUAACUACCUAAACAUGACUCAAUAUUUGGAUAUAUUGCUCCAACUAAUUAAAAUGUCAGCCAAACUGAGGAUGAAGUAUACCCUACUAAGCUCUAACAAUGAGUUGACUUCUAACUUCAAUGUCAAUGGGCAUCCUUCUCAAUUAUGCUAAUAAUGUGUUAUUAUAUUUGUGCUCACAGGUCUUAACAGAUAUCUCUUUCUUGAUCGAGAAAUCGAGAAUUAGAUUAUAUAUGAUGGACAUGAGAGCUAUACAUCAUAGGGUGAAUGCAUCUCCGAUUCUCCAUGCAGUAUCCACCAUUGCAUCUCAACCAUUUACAACUAAUAUAUCUUAGAGAAGAAAUUAAACUUAGAGGUACCAAAACUUCAAGCCUAUGUAGUUACAGAAACUACUACAUUAGAGAAGGAUUAAUCUUAGAGGUACCAAAACUUUAAGCCUAUGAAGUUAGAAUUCCUCUGUUCUGUAUUUUAUGAUAACACAUAACAUAACUCAAUGACAUCUCUCUGCCUUCUAACUUCGGUAGUAUAAUAUCCAGCAUCCAGCUACGUGAUAAGCCUAUAAACUUAUCUAUAUAUUACUUUGUAUUGACUAGUACCAAUAAUCCAAACCCAUCAAUAAUGCAAAGUACUUUAAUCCUCUUAUCACCUCCUUAUGGUUAAGGAGGAUAGCUAGGGUUGGGCGAAAACCGAACAUAACCGGGUUUAACCAAAAAACCGCUCGAAAAAGCAGGCCGGUUAACCGAACCGGAAAAACUGUUGGAAAAAUGACUCAAACCGGCCCGAACCGGUUUAAACCGGUUUGGAUCCAGUUCAGCCCCCUAAACCGCCUGAUUAAACCGACCCGAAUAUUAAUAUUUAAUUAUUAUUUUUUAUAUACGUGUCACAUCAUUAAUGGUGCAUACAACUCCUUACCGUGUACCCUCCCACACUGAAUCCUCCAUAUAGAUACCUAAAAACCCUAACCCUAAAUUGCUAAAUCCAUUUCUCAUUUUCGAUCUGCCUCUCAAGUCUCAGUCUCUCUCAUUUCUCAUUUUCUUUCAGGUGAUAGAUUUAGGUCCAUCCAAUCCAUCGUCAAACAACCAUGGAACGACCCCUACAUCAACUCCUGCAUCAGGUUCCAUGGUUCAGCACAGGCUGCACAGCUCUCAAGCUCCACCUGAUGCUGCUGCUGCGUCAGGGAAUUCUUCCUCGGUUCAAUCCAAGAGGAAGAAUCACAGCAUCGCCUGGGAUCAUUUUACCCUGAUGAAGAAUCCCGAUGGCACACCUCUCGCCAAGCCGAGAGCGAAGUGCAAUCACUGUCUGCAAACCUAUGGAUGUGAUACGAGAUCGAAUGAGACAAGUAACAUGAAGAAUCACUUGUUGUUCCAUUGCCCGAAGUGUCCACUUAGGGUCCCCAAGAAACAGAAGCAGUUGGUAAUUUCAUUUCUCUCACUUUCUGCAUUUUCAAACACAGUUUAUACUGUCGAUUAGUUGAGUUACUGAUUUACAUUUUCGUUUCAAGGCACAAGAGUCUUUCGACAAGGGGGGUAAGUUAGUUGCUUGGUCUUAUGAUGAGGAUGUAUGUAGGUUAGCUCUUGCUAGGAUGGUAGUUAGGGAUGAAUUGCCAUUUAGUUUUGUUGAUGGGCCUGGGUUUAAAAAUUUUAUAAGUCAAGUUCAGCCAUAGUUUAAGAAGUUUUCGCGUAGGAUAGUUGCUAGAAAUAUUUGGGAGUUGUAUGAGUCGGAGAGGAUUACAAUCAAAAAUAUUUUAGCCACUUAUGGACAGAGAGUUUCACUAACCACUGAUACUUGGACUUCGAUCCAAAAUAUCAAUUACAUGGUGCUCACAGCCCACUUUAUUGAUGAUGAUUGGGUUUUACACAAAAGAAUCUUAAACUUUUGUGUGAUACCAAACCAUAUGGGGAAGACAAUAGGGCAGCUUGUCGAAACUUGUCUCAUUGGGUGGGGAAUAGAGAAAAUUUUCUGCAUUGUUGUUGAUAAUGCUUCUCCUAAUCAAGUGGCUUUGGAUUACAUGAAAGAGAAUGUCACAUCCCGACCUUUAAAAUUUUUACCUUAUUUACUAGCUUGAUAUUAAUAAGAAUUUUACCGUCUCUGUCAAUGAGUUAUGGUUUAAUUGGUCCCUAGAGGGGUUUUGGGGGACGACUAUUUCGAUGGAAUUAUUCGUAGGAGAAAAAUGUGGCGACGGUAAAAAUGGUAAAUUUUAGCUAGUAAAAGGUAAUUUUUAUAGGGUAUUAUUUUGUGGUAUUAUUUUUUAGAAUUGGGUUGGUAUGUAGUUGGGGUAGGGGACCGGUUGGGAGGCCCAAUUCCCUCCCUCUCUUUUUCUUUCUUUUUCUCUUCUCUCCUCUUCCCUGACUCUCUCCCACCGCCAGAUUUCUUCUCGGCCGUCCGCCGCCGUCCUGCCACCGUGCCGCCGCUCCAGUUCCGAUCGGUCAGCCCUCGACCCAGCUUCCCUCCUAGACCGGUGAGAGCUCCCCUAGCGCCGCCAUGAGAGAGAGUUGCCGCCCGAAACCUCCGGCUGUCCAAAGCUCUCCGUCGUCGGAACUUCCUCCUCCGGCCACCAAUCUGGGCAAGCCUUACAUGGUUUUGAAGGCCUUCAACCCAGUUGCCUUGCCCUAGGAGGACUCGGUCCAGUUUGCUUCAAGUGAGGAGAAACGGUGAGUGGAAACUCUAGGGCUUUUUGUGAUGUUUUCGUUCGAUUGGCAUAGUUAGGCUUGGAAUUGGUGUUGUGCUAAUUAAGAAAGUUGUAGGGUGAGUUGAGAGGAAGAUGCUGUCAAAUUUUGGUAGGCAUUGGAGGUCGCCGAAAUCGGCCUCCGGCCGCCGCUGUCGGCGUGGCUACCGGCGGCGCCACCGCUGUUUGGGAGAUUUUUAUGGUUUUAAAUGUGGAAUAUUAAAGGGAGUUUAUUGAUGUGAAUUAUGGAAUUUUUGGAUGAGUUUUGGUCGGGUUUGUGAAUUUCCGAAGUUUGGUAUUUUUGGCGGUUAAUUAAUGUAGAAUCCGGCCGUAGGAUUUAAGUCAUUGUUCUGGGAAGGUUGUAUUUACGGCUGCCGUUUAUGGUAUUAAAGUUUGGAUCGUUUCGAUUUAGGAAUAUCGAAGUUAGACGAGAAUGAGCGUGGUUGCGGCUCAUGUUUAAUUUGCCUAUUUUUGAGUAAGUAAUGGAUUUUUGGUUGGUAAUUUUAAUUAUUAUAUUUGGAACAGGACGUGAGGAGGCUCAAGCAGAAGAGACCUCAGAUUGACGUCAGGCUUAGGCCUAAAGUUGUGAGUAGACUUUUGUUUUAAAUAAUAUGCAUGCUAUGGUUCAUGGAUGAACAAUUAAUGUUGUUGGAGUAUUUUGACGUCAUUUUAAUUUUUGACGAUUUUAUUUCUCUUGGAGAAUUACCGAAAAAUCUCAUUUUUCGGUGAGUAUAAGUAUGUAUAUUGAGGAGAGUAUGUAUAUAAAUGCUAGCUAGCCAUAUGUGUCUGUCCACCUUAAUGGCGUAGCAUAUAGCCGCAUUAUGGUGUGACGUGAGUGUAGUAGCCCUAUAUGAGUGUUUAAUUCAUAUAGGGGGUAUGGACACAUAUUUAUACACCCGUCUAUCCACCUUAAUGGCGCAGUGUAGCACCGCAUUAAGAUGUGACGUGAGCGUUGGACGCGAGCGUAGUAGCCCUAUAUAGACCCAUGAAUUUAUAUAGGGAGUAUGGACGUGUGUAAAUACAUACAUAUAUUAUAGAGCCUGAGAGGCUCGAUAUUUUUAUGAGAUAAAAGUUUUAUCGCUUGCGGCAUGCAUUCGAUUUUUCCUUGGAAAUUGAUAUGGGGAAACAUAAAUAUUUUAUUUAUUAAUUUAUUUUUGUCCACUCACUCUAACGUGUUUCAAAUGUUUUUCUCUGGGCCCUUCGUUUUAAAAUGCCCAGUUUGCAGGAUUGCAUAGUUGAGAUCGGGCGUACAUGGAGAUUAGGCAUAGUCAUCAUAUAGCUUCCGCUUGUUAAUUUAUUAUGUUUCCUUUCUUCCUGUUAGAGUUACUCUGAACCUAUAAAUGGUUGGAUACAGUACCACAAAAACCGCUUUAAACAACGCCUAUCAGACGACGUAUAAUGAUAACCCGUCGUAUGAUUGAUUUUUAACUUUUUAGAUGUCAGUUUUNNNNNNNNNNNNNNNNNNNNCAAAUUAAAAAACUUCAAACUUGACCGUUUGAUAUGAUUAGUGUAUUCAAAUACAGUUAUGGAAAAAAAUUCACAUGUUUUCGAUAAAGUUUAGGUCACGAUCCACGCAGUCAACCUUCAACCAACGUCACUUAUUACACGAAAACACUCUUACCCACCCUUAUUGACUUAUUUUGGCCUAUUCUUCCUCACACACAUGAGAUGAGAUGCAGCUGCCCAUGUAAAAAUUUGUGAAAUUAAACCUCCCGACGAUAGGGAUCCCCAUAAGGAAUAAUAAGCGUUCAUAGAGUUAACCGCCUUAAUCGGGGUCCAAACAUUAUCGAACAUAUGUGAAUUUCCUACCAUACUCGUAUUUCACUAUACAUAUUAGAUCCUACGGACGAUUAUUUAAAAUUGUAUUUGCAAGAUAUAGUUGCUUCACGAAGAUCUACACUUGCAUAAAAUCUACUAAACAAGUUAUACCAUUUUAAUAAGCACGUUGUGGUUCUAAUGACGAAAAUUAAAAGAAUUAAAACUUGACCGUAUGAUAUGAUUAAUGUAUUUAAAUAUGGGUAUGAAAAUAAAUUCACUUGUUUUCGAUAACGUUUAGGUCUCGAUCCACGCGGUCAACCUUAAUCCAACGUCACUUAUUACACAAAAACUCUCUUAUCUACCCCUAUGUGACCUAGUUUGGUGGAUUCUUUCACAUACAAAACUCUCACAUUGAUGAGAUGUAACCACCCAUGUAAAAAUUUAAGGACGUUCAUCUCCCUACGAUAGAGCUCCCCAUAGGAAAACAUAGGCGUAAAUAGGGUUGACCGCUUCUAUCGGGGAUCAAACGUUACCUAAAAUAUGUGAUUUUUCAACCGUAGCCGUAUUUCACUGUAACGAUCACAUCCUAUUUCAUAAGAUUUUUGAAAAUAUUGCUUCCUCCGUAUAGUUCGUUCACAAAUAUGUACACUUGCACAUAACUUGCUAAACAAGUUAUACCACGUUGUGGUCCCAAUGGCUAAAUUUUACAAAAUGAAAAUUCAACCGUCUGAUAUGAUAAGCGUACUUAAAUAUGGCUAGGGAAAAAAAUUAACUUGUUUUCAAUAACAUUUGUCUCUCGAUCGACGCGGUCAACUUUAAACCAAUGUCAUUUUUACACGAAAGCUCUUUUACCUACCCCUAUAUAACCUAGUUUGGUUGAUUCUUUGUUGGUGCAAAAAAAUUCAGAAGAGAGAUUUCCCAACAAAGAUCUCACUCCUUUGAUUCUUGAGGAGCCUUGGACGCAUCCAUACGACGGUGAAUCUAGGGGAAAGAGGUACCUGCAAAACAAAUACACACUCCGACGCCCAAGUCAAUUUCGAUUGAAGCAUGUACAAUAAAAGAAAUCGGUUCGAUACUUAUUACCGUUGUUAUCCAUAAUUGUUCCUCCCCAUUCUCCUCCAUUCCUCUCCAUAAGCGUGUGAAUUUAUAGACCUUUUAUUUCUUGGUCCUCACUUCCCGUUGUAGUGGGAGUAGUGGGAGGAGCAUGUUCUCCAUUAACGAUCAUGUUUCACGUUGGUUAUCAUGAUAAUGUUCAUCUUGGGAUUUGACCAUCGAUCGGGCCUAAUUCAUUAAAUGGGGGUCCAAGCCGAAAUUUUAUAUCCCCACAUUCUUACACUCACAAAACUCUCACAUUGAUGGGAUGUAACCAUCUAUGUAAAAAUUCAGGGACGUUCACCUACCAACGAUAGAGCUCCCUGUAGGAAAGCAUACCGAAAAUAGGGUUGACCGUUUCUAUAGGGGACCAAACAUUACCGGAAAUAUGUAAUUUUUCAACCAUAGCCGUAUUUCACCAUAACGAUCAUAUCCUAUUUCACAAGAUUUCUAAAAAAUUGCUUCCUCCAUAUAGUUGGUUCACAAAGAUGUACACUUGCAAUUAACCUAAUAAACAAGUUAUACCACAUUAGUAGCCACGUUGUUGUUCUAAUGCCUAAAUUUAUUAAAAUGAAAAUUCAACUGUCUGAUAUGAUCAGCGUACUUAAAUACGGCUAUGGAAAAAAAUUCACUUGUUUUCAAUAACAUUUGGCUCUCGAUCAACGCGGUCAACCUUAAACCAACGUCACUUAUUACACGAAAACGCUCUUACCUACUCCUACAUGACCUAGUUUGGUUGAUUCUUCCACACACAAAACUCUCACAUUGAUGAUAUGUAAUCACCCAUGUAAAAAUUUGGGAACGUUCACCUCCCGACGAUAGGGCUUUCCCUAGGGAAGUAUAGCGUAAAUAGGGUUGACAACUUCUAACGGGGACCAAACGUUACCGGAAAUAUGUGAUUUUUCAACCAUAGCCAUAUUUCAUCAUACCGAUCACAUCCUAUUUCACAAUAUUUUUGAAAAUAUUGCUUCCUCCAUAUAGUUGGUUCACAAAGAUGUAUACUUGCAUAUAACCUACUAAACAAAUUAUAUCACAUUAGUAGCCAUGUUGUGGUUCUGAUGGCUAAAUUUCACAAAAUGAAAAUUUAACCGUCCGAUAUGAUCAGAGUACUUAAAUACGGCUAAGGAAAAAAAUUCACCUGUUUUUGAUAACGUUUGGCUCUUGAUCGACGCGGUCAACCUUAAACCAACGUCACUUAUUACACGAAAACGCUCUUACCUACACCUACAUGACCUAGUUUGGUUGACUAUUCCACACAUAAAACUCUCACAUUGUUGGGAUGUAACCAUCUAUGUAAAAAUUUAGGGGCGUUCACCUCCCGACGAUAGGGCUCCCCGUAGGAAACCAUAAGCGUAAAUACGGUUGACCGCUUCUAUCGAGAACCAACGUUACCGGAAAUAUGUGAUUUUUCAACCAUAGCCGUAAUUCACCAUACCGAUCACAUCCUCUUUCAUAAGAUUUUUGAAAAUAUUGCUUCCUCUGUAUAGUUAAUUCACAAAAAUGUACACUUGUAUAUAACCUACUAAACAAGUUAUACCACAUUAGUAGCCACGUUGUGGUUCCAAUGGUUAAAUUUCACAAAAUCAAAAUUCAACCGUCUGAUAUGAUCAACGUACUUAAAUAUGGCUAAGGAAAAAAAUUCACCUGUUUUCGAUAACGUUUGACUCUCGAUCGACGCGGUCAACCUUAAACCAACGUCACUUCUUACACGAAAACGCUCUUACCUACCCCUACAUGACCUAGUUUGGUUGACUCUUCCACACACAAAACUCUCACAUUGUUGGGAUGUAACCAUCUAUGUAAAAAUUUAGGAGCGUUCACCUCCCGACUAUAGGGCUCCCCGUAGGAAAGCAUAAACGUAAAUAGGGUUGACCGCUUCUAUCGGGGACCAUAUGUUACCAAAAAUAUAUGAAUUUUCAACCAUAGCCAUAUUUCACCAUACCGAUGACAUCCGAUAUCACAGGAUUUUUAAAAAUAUUUCUUCCUCCGUAUAGUUGGUUCAUAAAGAUGUAUACUUGCAUAUAACCUACUAAUACACUUGCAUAUAACCUACUAAACAAGUUAUAUCAUAUUAAUAGUCACGUUGUGGUUCCAAUGGCUAAAUUUCACAAAACUAAAAUUCAACGAGGAAAAAUGGGGUCUCGCACGAUGCUAGUCAAACGCGUAUUGUCUAAAAGAUGAAGUGGUAUUAAGGUUGACCGAUUCGAUGAAGGGCCUAACUAAUCCGAAAUAGGGUGAAUUAUUUUCAGUAAACCUAUUUAAUUACAAUGACUACAUCCGACGGUGAAAUUUUUAUUUUCACAUAUUUAUGACCUCGGACACCACAUGUCUACUAAAGUGGUAUAACUUAUUUAUUAGGUUAUAUGCAAGUGUACAUCAUUGUGAAUCAAUUAUACAUAAGAAGCAAAUUUUUUGAAAAUCUUGUGAAAUAAGAUGUCACAAGAAUAGUGGAAUAUAGAUUACGAUGAAAUAUCACAGACUUUCGAUAAUGUUUGGUUUUCGAUAAAAGUGGUCAACUCUAAAUACGUUUAGGCGUGCUUACCCACUGGAGGGUCAAUUUAACAAUUUUUUUUCAUGCUUUCCUGAAUCUCAUGUAUACAAGUUUUAUGUUCGAAAACAAGUAAAAAUGGGUUUCUGCACGAAGUUGGUCAACCGUGUUUUGUGUAAAAAAUGAAGUUGAAUUCAGGUUGAUCGGUUUUAUGGGGGGCCUAACGAAUCCGAAACGAGGUGGAUUUUUUUCAGUAGACCUAUUCAAUUACAAUAACUACAUCGGACGGUGAAAUUUUUAUUUUCACAUAUUUAUGACCUCGGAUCGCCAUGUGCCUACUAAAAUGGUAUAACUUGUUUAGUAGGAUAUAUGCAAGUGUAUAUUAUUAUGAACCAACUACAGAAGAAGCAAAAUUAUCGAAAAUCUUGUGAAAUAAGAUAUGAUCGGAAUAAUGAAAUACGUCGAGGGUUGAAAAAUCACAAACUCCGGUAACUAUUGGUUCAUGAUAAAAAAUGGCUAACUCUAAUUUCACUUAUACGCUUCUAUGGGGAGCCUAACUACCAGAGUAUCAAUUUAAUAAUUUGUUUUCGUGGGUUCCUUAAUAUCAUCUAUGAGUUUUAGGUUUGAAAAUGGGAAAAAAAUGGGGCCUUGCACAAUACCGGCAAAAUGCGUUUCGUGUAAAAAAUGAGUUUGAAUUAAGGUUGACUGAUUUGAAGAGCUUGUUUUACAUAGUAAUUUAUAUAAUAUUAAAAUUUCAUUUUCAUUAGAAUUCCUAAGCCCAUUCAGGAAAAUUUAUAAAUUAUGAAACAAUCAUGUUAAAAAAAAAAAGGGAAAAUUACACGUUGCAUUAAUUAUACAAAACACUUGCGUUCUAACUAAAAAAAUAAAUAAAUUCCAUAAUCCCUAAUCACCAACCCUAUACCCUAUACCCUAAAUCCCAAACUCUAACCCCUAAACCGAAAAAGAAAGAAAAAUAAUCCAGCUUCAAAGUGUCAGUUCGAGAAUAGCUCGAAUUGGGCAGCAUCUUUUCACCUCCACUUCCAAUAUUUACCAAUAUCGAAUCCUCAAUUCCUCAUUGAAACCUUGCAUCCUCCGCCGAAACCCAGAUGCCAGAAAACAAGAGCUCCGAUCCAAAACCUAAAACCCUAAUUUGCAUAGUGUUUCCACCUGUAGUUCACCAGAUAAGCAUCAGCAAACAAAAACCUAUAAUUUUUCAAUCAAAACAAACAAAUCCCAUCUACAAUCUUUUCUCAAAUCACUUCAAUUACAGAACAAACCAACCAACAUCACAACACGAAAAUACAUGAUUGGAUGACAAUAUUUUACUGGAGAUUUUGAGAUGAAAUAAAAACCCAAAAAGCGGAUUGAGCAGAGAAUGAACGAACCCAGUUCUCCCACCGCCAGUCAUGGUCGAGAGCGGCGCGACGGCGAGCCUCGCUUGUCGAUGAAAUCGGCCAAGGAUUGGGCCUCGAAUUGCGUUGUUGACAAGCUCGGUAGACGCCCUAGUGCAGUUGCACGGUAGGAGACGACCUGAAGUCUGAAGGGGAGACCUCGAAGCUCUUGGGUCGUUGAUAUGGUUUUCAGUUUUGAGUGAGAUGGCUGUGUAAUUGAGAGAUAAGAGAGGAGAAAUUAAGACGAAACAAGACCAGUCGACGCUAACGUCGUUUGGCUUGCACGCGUUCCUAGACGUCGGGCGCACCCGGGUACGCUGAAUACGCUCUCUAUGAAACUCAAAUAAAUUACUUAAUUUAUCAUGGCACAGUCAAUUGGCUUUUGAUAUGAAACUCAUAUUAAUUACUUAAUUUAUCAUGGCACAUGCAUGACGGACAUAUCCCAUUUUCAUGUAUCAUGGCCACACAGUCUUCAUGUCCAUUAUAAGUUAUCCUCAUGUAAGGUCACAAAUUAAUUCACCAUGGGUACAAGAGAUCUCACAUUGGAAAUUGAGUACUAAUUACAUAAGAGUUUACAAAGAUUUUAGCUGUUUCAUCCUAUUGUUAAUUGAUUUUAGACGUGACAAUUUUAUAGUUGUAUCAAACGUGUGCAUACAUUACGGACACACAUGUAUAACUUGAAAAAUUCAGCACAUGCACGUGUGGAGCAUGAUUAGUUAUAGAUUCCUCAUGACAAAAUCUUAAAUUAAAUUCAUGCGGCAGGAGAAAUAGGAGUUUUGAGCAAGAGGUAAAUAUCACUUUGAUUGUAGUUAAGGGGUAGUUAAGGGUGCAGAGUGAUGAAAAUAGAACUCUUGAGGAAGAUGUGCAUAUAUACACUGAAAAUUGUAGUUCAAUGGUGAAGAGUAUAGUGCAGUUUCAGGCUAGCUUUAGGGAACUGAAAUGUAAAAAGCUUACCAAAUAAAUUAUUUAAAGAGAUGGAUCAAAGGAUUGAAAGAAGAAUUCCAAUGAAAUCUGGUACUAUGCGUCCGUCGGAGAAUCUUCCGGUGGGGUAGUGGAAGAAGGUUUCUCCAUAUGCCCAGGCUAUUGCUGCGUCCAUCUCUAUGGUAACAUAAGGAAGGUAUCCAUUGUUGCCAGCCUCAAAAGUGAGUCUCCGAACACAAACAAUGGCGCCUUAUAUCGAUCAUCAUCAUGUUCUUCUAUACUCCUAUUACUAUUAUCACUGUACUGACUGCGAUGACCAUGAAGAAAGAAGCUAACUGGGUUGAGCAGACUUGCCAACACAUACAUAAUGUAGCUAAGACUUCCCAUAGUCUUAGCUUCUACGACCAAUGGACCUCAUAUAUAUGCUUCUGCAUGCAUAUAUGACUAUAUAUGAUUUAAUCCGAAGUUCAACGCCACCCAGGUGACUGUGCAAUAAUGAACUGUCAAGUGUGUUGCUGCUCGACACACGUUUCCUAGUUCCAGUUUUGAAGAUCCGUUUGUUUCAGGUAUCUCUGUUGCAUUUAAGCCAGGCUCCACAUCAAUUUAAGAUACAGCAGAGGAAAGGAAACGUCCUCGACUUAAUUUGGACCCUCCAUGUGUAGCUUUGAUUUUUCUUUGAUACAGGAGCUAGAUUCUUUGCCUUGCUUACCUUUCCGUUUCCGUACAAGCACUAAAUCAGUGUUGAUGGCGGCAGUAGAGAAACCACCUCCAAUUUUUCUACGUAGAAUGCUCUAACUAUGCAUUGUAGUAUGUUGUCUAGGCCACUUUGAUAGAUUCAGAGUAUACACACAAGUUUGAGAAGUACAUCCAACUAGGUAAAAACUACUAGGCCACUUGCAGUAAUUCAUUCUAGCUGAAGUUGGAAGUACUAAGAGCAUCUCCAGCAACUCAUGUAAAACUAGAAUUAUCUAUAUUUUAGAGGAAAAACACCAAUUUUU